rnacentral:rRNA from 1 species
ACGAACGCUGGCGGCGUGCUUAACACCUGCAAGUCGCACGGAAAGGCCCUGCUUGCAGGGUACUCGAGUGGCGAACGGGUGAGUAACACGUGGGUGAUCUGCCCUGCACUUCGGGAUAAGCCUGGGAAACUGGGUCUAAUACCGGAUAUGACCUUCCAUGUAGUGUGGGGGGUGGAAAGAUUUAUCGGUGUGGGAUGAGCCCGCGGCCUAUCAGCUUGUUGGUGGGGUAAUGGCCUACCAAGGCGUCGACGGGUAGCCGGCCUGAGAGGGUGGACGGCCACAUUGGGACUGAGAUACGGCCCAGACUCCUACGGGAGGCAGCAGUGGGGAAUAUUGCACAAUGGGCGGAAGCCUGAUGCAGCGACGCCGCGUGGGGGAUGACGGCCUUCGGGUUGUAAACCUCUUUCGACAGGGACGAAGCUUCGGUGACGGUACCUGUAUAAGAAGCACCGGCUAACUACGUG